rnacentral:lncRNA from 1 species
AUCACAAAAUAGUUUUUGAAGUAAUUUUAGACGCUAAUUAGUUUAGUUUGAUGUUUAUUUUCAUUUCUGCAACCUUUAUAAAUUCACACAAAAUUAUAAAAAUUACAAAAAUAGAAAAAGGAAAUAAAAAGAAAUCAAAAGAAAAUCUAAUAAAAAAGAGUUGGUCUUGCAAAGGCAAAUUUUGGGCUGAUUUUUGAAAUUAAAAUUGCUUGGCCCAAAAUAAAUUCCCGCUCCAGCCCAGUGCCCGGUCCGUUUGUGAAAACCAAACGACAUCAUUCCGUGAUGUUUAAUCUGGACCUUCGUGGUUGAUUGAUCAGACGGUCCAGAAGCCCCCAUCUCUUAGUAUAAGAAUGUACGAACACCCCCACCCACCCCACCAUCGUAUUCUUCACACGAUCCUCCUCUCGGAAAACCCUAGAGACGCCGCCUCAAAUUCGCAAGCCGCCGGUGGCGGCGCCACCUCCAAACUCAACCAAAAAUACGCCCUGAAAUCCCCUUAGGCUCCUCAUACCAAAUACCCAAUUCAUUUCCCUCGAAUCUCUGUCAGUUCGGUCGAAUCUUAAAUUAAAAUUUCCAGUCAAAUCCCAAAUCUAUCCAAAUGCCCCCAAAUCGAUACAAGGAGAUCACUUCGCCCUUUUCUUCACAAAUAUGUGGUUGUUUCCCCUCGAAUCUCACCAGGCUGCCCUCAACCCCCCAUCUAGGGUUCAUGCCUUCCGGGCUGUUCAAGAUUUUUUGAAGUCGAGUGAGUCCCGAUUAAUAUUACAGGUCUAUGAUUGACAACAUAUGCGUAUAAUAGUAACCGGGAUUCAAUUUCAAAUAGAUUUCUUCAAAGUCAGAAUUUCAGUAAGCUUUCGUCUCAUUUCCUUUAAGUUCUGUUUGAUUCAUACUUUAUCUGUUUAAUUAGCUGUAGUUUUAAUUUCCUAAUCAUUCUAAUUGGUAGUUUGAUUCUGAUACAAGUAUGUCCGUUAAUUAGGUUAACUCUUAGACUUUCCAUUUUGUUUUUAGCUUUGAUUUGGUUUAAUUUAAGUGUUCAAUUGUCAAUUUAUUUGUUAGGUGAUAGGUUGAUUUCAAUUAGUUCCAGUUAUUUAUCUAGUUGAAUUUCCUUUUGGUUCGCAUUGAUUCAGUUGACUUUAGCAUUUCUAAUAAGUAAUUAGUUCUACAUUUGUGAUCUUUGCUUAAAUGUUGUUUAAGUGUGAGUUUUAAUUGUUUUAACUAGUUUGUUAGUUUAAGCAAAAUAGUUAUAGUUGUUGGUUUUGUUAGGAUAAAAGAAGAGGCUGAUUUGGAGUAGUUUAAGAUAAAGUAGGGAUAAUUGAGAAAGUCAGGGGUACGGUAGACAUUUAGGAGUGCACAAGUAUUGUGAGCUAGAAUAUUCUAGGACCUUCUAGAAUGGGGUAUAAGUAUAGGUUUCAGCAAUUUAGAUGUACUUAUUUGAAUAACAAGUCAAUAAAUAGGGGCAAGAUACGGAAUACAAGGAUAAGUGAUCUUUUAAAUUUUGAAUAGUGUCCCCUAGGAGAUUCUAGAUGGGGUUAACUUUAGAAUUCUAUAAAGUUUGGUAGUAUAACUUGGGAAACAAGUCAGUUUUUUAGGAAUACUUAAGCAAAAACGAAAAUUAGCAAAGGAUGUAAGGCAAAACUGAAAUCUGAGGGUUGCCCCUUAUUUUGGCCUAUAUAAGGCACAUUUUAGUGCCUUAAUCAACAAGUUUUGGGAGCCUCACAAAAUUCCCUCCCAUCUUCUAUAAGCUUCAGAUCUGAAAUGUGAGAAAAACUCCAAGUCUUCAAAAAUCAAAAAACAACAAAAACUCUUCAACAAAAACCAAAAAGUGUAAUGUUCCUUUGAAUACCUCAGGCUAAUUUCAACUUUCAAUUAGUAAUUACCACUUUCUAGUUCAGUAUUUGGUGGUUGAGGCUUCAGGUGGCCACUGGCUCAAUUUCGAGAGGUUUGGGGCUAGUUAGGUUGGUUUUGAUUGAGUUUUGGAUCCAUGGAAGUGUGUUGCUGCCUUUUGAGUAUAACUGAAUGCAUUUCAAGUUUUUUUGGGUUUAAUCUACUGGUUCCCGUUUGAGUUUGAACCUUCAUGGGCUUCUGGCUUUAUUCCUUGGGUUGUUCGUUCAUUCUGAGUUGCUGGGAAUUGCAUACUGGUAUUGUUGUUCGAAUUACUGUUGUAGCUGACUUCUCCUACUUCAUUUUAUUCCAAUUCCAGGUACACAGCUUUGACUUGGAUAGUUGUGAGCUGAAAAAUGAAAGGAUUGAAGCAUGAAAACUGAAUUACUUCAAUUUUGUAACUGUUUGUUCAACAUUCAAUUUAUUGAUGUGGAUUAAAUUUCUGUUUAUGAUAUACUAAGUGGACUGGUAAACUGCUGAGUGUGAAUAUAUUUAGCUGAAUCAUUAGAUGAGUAUUUGUGUAUUUAGAAAUGGACAGAAAUUUUAGUCGUUGAGAGCAAUUUUGAUUAAUUGGAAGAAGUUCAUGUUAGCUUUAGUUAAAUUCAUUCUCAAAUCUGUUUUAAGAAGAGUUUAUGCAAUGAGAUGAAAUUUCCAGCAGCAUUUGUAUUAUAGAUCGCAAUCAUAGGUGACAGGUUGGUUUGAUUGGUGAAUUUAAAUCAAGUCCCAGCGUAUUAAUUUUCAAAUUGGAAGAGUAGCGUUCAAAUAGCAAUAGACUUCCUGAAUCAACAGUUUGUUUUGCUAGAAAAAGUAUUGAAUUGGGCCUGUGUUGAACGCUAAUUUGUUAAUGCAGAAAGAUAGUUGAAAAGCAAUUAGAUAACUUGACAAAAAGGUAUUUGAUAAAUCAGUUUGUGAUCAAACUCAAAUGGGAUGCCUCAUAAUUUCGUUCGCCAGCUGGGAUUCGAACCCAAGUCCUUGGCUAGAGGCGGGUUUGUUGUUACUCUUAGGCCUUUGUUUUCUAAUUGGUCCAAUUUUGGCCCAUGUGGUCUAUAAUCUUGGGGCUUCUUUCAAAGAUACAAUUCAAGGGUUAAAUAGCAUGAAUUCGAAUUUUGAGUUAGGUAGCGGGUAUUAAACUAAAAGUUUCGACCUUUUGUUUGGAUCCGGACUUGAACUUGAAGCCCAAGCUUUAAUAAUAAUCUAGUUAGGAACUUUUCUUUUCUUUUAGAGACAAAAACACAAAAAUAGAAAAAUCGUAGUCGCUUUUUAGGCUUGCCUUUUAAAAUAAAACGAGAUGAGCCUCGCCCAAUAAAAGUGCAAAAUUGUGGGGCUCUCAAUAAAGGUUUAAAAAUAUUAAGAAAAUCGGGAAGGGUUAUUUAGCGAAUUUCACGGCCCUCCCAAAAGAUAAUGACGCGCUAGACUCUAUUUGGCGCGGCUUUAAUAAAUUACAUUCCUAAAUACGGAUGGGCAUUUUAUGUGGCCCAAAUCCAAAUCCUAAAACGUUGGAUAGAGUGUGUCGAGGGUUGCGAGUUCAUUUGAUACGGUGCAAUCCGUUCACUUUCUCUUAAAUAAAUAUUCUAUUAAAUAAAAGCGGUAAAAAGUAAAAUUGGCACAUAGGUUCUUCAUGUAAUAAAAUCAAAUAAAAGCUAAGUGCAACAGUUGAGCACCGUGCUAGAACCACGCAACCCGGGAAUGCCCAACACCUUCUCCUGGAUUAAUAGAAUUCCUUAUCCGGAUUUCUAGUUCGCGGACUAUGAACAGAGUCGUCUUUUUCCUCGGUUCGAGAUUCAAUCGGUGACUUGGGACACCAUUAAUCUGCCAAGUGGCGACUCUGAAUAAUUAAUAACCUAAUCUCGUUCCGAUUGUCCUUUAAGUGGAAAAACUCCUUCACGCCCCUUUGCGGGGGUGUAUAGCGAAAAAGGAGGUGUGACAUAUAUAUAUAGGUGUGUGUGUGUGUGUGUAUAUAUACCGAGCCUUAUAAGGCCGGAUAGCUAUUUUACUUUCCAUAUUGAGAGAGUAGAGUCAGUAUCAGCCGGUAAGCAUAUCCUCAGAUUAUCUUUGACUUCCAGCUACUUAUAGUUAUUAUAUUAUCAGUUCUGUUUCAGCUUUCAGUAUAUUGCCUUACAUAGUCGGUACAUUAUUUCGUACUGACGUCCCUGUUCUGGGGGCUGCAUUUUAUGCGUGCAG